rnacentral:tRNA from 1 species
GGAGGGGAGGGCUCAGUGGUAGAGCAUCUGUCUGGCAAGGGCGAGGUCCUGGGUUCAAUCCCCAGUCCCUCCA